UGGGGAAUUGUUCGCAAUGGGCGAAAGCCUGACGACGCAACGCCGCGUGGAGGAUGAAGAAUUUCGGUUCGUAAACUCCUUUCGACCAAGAUGAAUACCCAUGGGCUUAAUACGCCUGUGGGCUGACAGUAUUGAGAGUAGAAGCCCCGGCUAACUCUGUGCCAGCAGCCGCGGUAAUACAGGGGGGGCAAGCGUUGUUCGGAAUUACUGGGCGUAAAGGGUUCGUAGGUGGCCAACUAAGUCAGACGUG
rnacentral:rRNA from 1 species